AACGCACAUUGCGCCUCUCUUUACCGGGAGGCAUGCCUGUCUGAGCGUCAUUUAAACCAAUAAACGUUUGUUUGUUUUGGGUCUCGCCUUUGGGCGUUAUCUUAAAAUGAUGGGUCUAAUUAGCGGACGAGAUCCUUCAAGGACUAACCGUGAAUUAUCAGACCAGAUAAAUCUCUGAUUUUGACCUCAGAUCAGGUAGGGAUACCGCCUGAACUUAA
rnacentral:misc_RNA from 1 species